rnacentral:rRNA from 1 species
GUAGGUGGCAAGCGUUGUCCGGAAUUAUUGGGCGUAAAGCGCGCGCAGGCGGUUCUUUAAGUCUGAUGUGAAAGCCCACGGCUCAACCGUGGAGGGUCAUUGGAAACUGGAGAACUUGAGUACAGAAGAGGAAAGCGGAAUUCCACGUGUAGCGGUGAAAUGCGUAGAGAUGUGGAGGAACACCAGUGGCGAAGGCGGCUUUCUGGUCUGUAACUGACGCUGAGGCGCGAAAGCGUGGGGAGCAAACAGGAUUAGAUACCCUGGUAGUCCACGCCGUAAACGAUGAGUGCUAAGUGUUAGGGGGGUCUCCGCCCCCUUAGUGCUGCAGCUAACGCAUUAAGCACUCCGCCUGGGAGUACGGCCGCAAGGCUG